AUUGAACGCUGGCGGCAGGCCUAACACAUGCAAGUCGAGCGGAGCGGCGGACGGGCGAGUAAUUCCUAGGAAGCUGCCUGGCUGCGGGGGGUAACGUCCGGAAACGGGCGCUAAUACCUCAUACUAUCCAAUGAGCCUAGUGCGGAUUAGCUAGUUGGUGGGGUAAAGGCCUACCAGGGCGACGAUCCGUAACUGGUCUGAGAGGAUGAUCAGUCACACUGGAACUGAGACACGGUCCAAACUCCUACGGGAGGCAGCAGUGGGGAAUAUUGGACAAUGGGCGAAAGCCUGAUGCAGCCAUGCCGCGUGUGUGAAGAAGGUCUUCGGAUUGUAAAGCACUUUAAGUUGGGAGGCGUUACCAACAGAAUAAGCACCGGCUAACUUCGUGCCAGCAGCCGCGGUAAUUC
rnacentral:rRNA from 1 species